rnacentral:lncRNA from 1 species
CGCCAUACUGUUGGAUGGUCACUGCCUCUCUUACGCCACACUUUUGGGUUGAAUGCGUCUCCACUUCCACCAUGGUCAUCUCCUUUCGAGAGUCUAUUUGAUCGUUUCCAUAUUAUUCAGCGCUUCAAUUGUUUGGUUGUGUUUGAUGUGCCCUUACUACCUCUCGUGAAUGUACCAAACUUACUACCUAGUUCGUUGAGUGUUCAUAGGAUACAACAAUGAGCAUAAGAGAUCCUGUUGUUAGGAUCAUGUUGGUCAUUGGUGACUAUUUCUCACGUUAUGACUUUUAGUGAGUCCAGUCCCUUCUACGUGUGACCAUCAUCCCCGACCUUUUCAGUGGAGGAUGUGUUACCUCACUUUUCCCGACACUCCUAUCACUAUCGUUGAGCCCCAAUCCAUUCCUCGUACUGCUCCUGCUUCUCCAAUUAUUAAAGAUUCAGCACCAUCAUCUCCUAUGAUUUCCUCACUUCGCUUAUCACGGGAUUCUAAACUUUCAUCACCGGUGACUUGUCUCCAUAACCUGAGUUUAUCUCGAGGAUUCUUGCUCGUAUUCUUCCACAUUUGACUCACUUUUAUACGCGUCGUUCGUGUGUUGUGGAUGCAUCUACUGAUGUGCCAUCUUCUCCGUCUCGGCCUUCUUAUGGCUUGCGACCUCGUCCACUUUUGCCUGUUGACCGCCUUAGGCUAUGAAACGUUGGCGCUGUUAGGAAGUAUUAGUAUUAGUCUAUUAGUAUUAG